UGUAGAGUGGGUAAAGCUGCCUCUUAUUUGUACAGAUCUUGAGCGACGCCUUCAGCGGUUGUGAAAGGUAGAGAAUGCUCCUCCCAAGCGCUGUGACAACGGUAGUAAUCAUACUGUUGUCAGUGGGUGUUAGGCUCUCUGAGGGACGCCUGGAACUAGUCAACAACGGGUAUGAGGACCUCGUAGUGGCCAUAUCUCCUUCAGUAAACGAAUCUGAUGCGAUGGAUAUUAUCGAGGCUAUAAAGCGAACCGUUAGUGAGGCUUCUGCCAUCCUGUUCAAGGCAACUCACCAAAGAGCUUUCUUCAAAGAUGUCAAGAUCCUCCUGCCGAUGACCUGGGCCAGCACGACCUACGAUCAGAUAGCUUUCAAUCAACAUUUUCAAAGCAGCGACAUUCGAGUGGACGUCAGUAAUGCAGUAUAUGGUGACCAGCCUUAUACCGACCAACCAGGCGGGUGUGGUGUUCCAGGCCGGUACAUUCACCUCACUCCCGAUUACUUACUCAAUAACGAAGAAGCUGCUUGGUGGGGUCCUCGUCCCAAGACCCUAGUGCACGAAUGGGCCAAGUUGAGGUGGGGAGUCUUCGCUGAGAUCGGUUACCCUAACGACCCCACCUCCCCGCCCUUCUUCUGGAAUUCGUCUGGAGUGAACGGCGCAGAGAACGUCAGUCCGACGUACUGCGCAAACCGGGAGUUGUCAGGAGAGCUGAGGGACGCCCUCACCAAUACCUCCUGCAGCUACGCCGACGGCCUCCCGGACGCCAACUGCCGCUUCUUCCCCAACACCACCCAGGAAGCCUCCUCCUCCCUCAUGGGAUAUUAUCACAUAGAUAAUAUCGUGGAAUUCUGCGACUCCGACAGCGCCAGCGACUUCUCCCACGAUGCCCUGGCGCCGAGCAGACACAACCUGAUGUGCGAAGGGCGGUCCGCCUGGGACGUCAUGGGCCUCCAUCCUGACUUCGACGGGGGGGCGAAUCCUCCCGCCACUUCCUCCUCUCCGACGAAGUUCACGGUUCUGCGUCAGGAAGUCGUCAAGAUCGCGCUCGUCCUCGACUACUCCUUCGGCAUGAGUAACGCGCAGAGGAUUCAGAAACUCCAGAGAGCCGUCAAGCGCUGGAUCCUCUACGAAGCGCCGGAUGGGAUCUACCUGGGCAUCAUUAAGUUCUGGGGGAGUGCGUUUCGAUCUGCUCAGCUGACGGAGAUCACAGGCCAGUCUCGCAGGAACCUCGCUAGUCACAUAGACACUUUGCUCAACUCUGGGACUAGUAUCGGUGCUGGUCUUCAGGUAGCUAUUUAUGAUGUUCUGAAGAAUCAAAACAACCCCGUUAUUCUUGUGGUUAGCGGAAGCCCUGAAAAUGAGUAUCCUUAUAUUGACGACAUGCUCAGCAAAGUUGUUCAAUCCGGAGUCAGAGUUGUCACAGUAGCACUAGGAAACGAAGCCGAGAUUAAGCUCCAGACCCUGGCAUCGGCUACAGGAGGAAAGGCGUUCGCGGUUUCGGACGAUGACGAAGGCGGGGCACUGGACGAGGCGCUGCUGGGGGCCUUGGCGUACCAGCCGGAGGGCAGUCUUAAGGACGUUCAAGUGAAGCUACACGGCUUUACUCGCCACGCCGAAAACGAAACAGUCACCGAAUCCUUCACAGUCGACGCUUCAGUGGGCCGCAAGCUGGAGUUCCGGCUCGACACAGACAGGGCAGUCGCCUUCUCAGAGCGUCCGCACCUGAUACGCCCCAGCGGCACUCGGAUCAACGCAAUAUCCGCUGACGGUGUUCUGUGGGCCGUCUCUCUGCCGGUGGCCGAGGUUGGAUCGUGGAUCUGGAGUCUGACUUUGCCCGCCUCUGGAAACUGUUACAUCCGUGUCAGUGUUACGGCCAAAGGAAGGGAACCAGAAAUAUUACCCAUCCUCUCUCGUGCUUGGUUGAGCGUAGGGCCGUAUGGUGUGGACAUCCCAAACAACCCUGUUAUUGUGUACGCGGAAAUUAAACAAGGAAACAACCCCGUCGUUGAUGCCAGAGUCAGAGCGACCGUCACGCAGCCAAGCGAAGACCUUGACGCAGUGGAGUUGGACCUUCUCGACAACGGCCAAGGCGCAGACACUCAGGCGGGAGAUGGAGUCUAUUCGCGAUACUACACUGUGUACCCUGGCGCUGGCAGGUACUCCGUCGAGGUCCAGGUGUGGGGCGAUGGUUACACCUUCGUCAACAAUGGCUCUGAAAAGUCGAAACAACAAUUUCUCAAAACGCCCACCUACUGCUGCGGGAGUGUCGUGCCCUCGGUCCCUGAACGUGGAGUCUCAACAGGAAAUUUUAGUCGAACCGUAGCUGUUGGUUCAUUCCAGGUUUUAGCAACCCUUCCUGCAGGUGACCUGUUCCCCCCCUCCCGCGUCACGGACCUGCAGGUCAGCGCCGCGCCGCUCUUCCUCGACCUCACUUGGACUGCUCCCGGAGACGACCUCGACGCCGGCGCAGUCGCCGGGUACGCGAUUCGCCUCAGCGAGAACCGCACUGACCUCGAGGACGACAGCUUCGACACCAGAGGGAACGAGACUCUCCUCUUGACGCUGGAGGAGUCGGCGAACAUGACGGAGUUGCUCCUCGAAGCCGGUCAGAAGAUAACACUCAACCUCACCCUCGAAGACGAGCUGGAGAGCAACAGGACUUACUUUGUUGGUAUUCGUGCAGUGGACGACGUCGGGUUGGUUAGCGCGGUGUCGAACCCAGUGGUCGUAGUCAGCCUCGAAUACCCGCCUCCCUCCACGCCUCCUUCGAGCCCACACCUGCAGGCGUGGGCCAUUGUCCUCAUGGCCUCCGCCUCGCUCGUUGCCGUGGGAAUGGUGGCUGGAUGCGUCGCCUAUGCCCGGAAGAGGAGACUCCGGACUGCAACCGACUCAAUUUAUCCGGUUGCAUUUCGAUAUGCAGAGAAGGAUGUUUGGUGUGGCCCUCCCUCUCCCUCUGCGGCCUAGGUCUAUAUAAGAACUUAUAUAGGCCGUGUCUACGGCAAGCCAUUCUUACUGGAAGAAUUCAAGGUCAAUAAAUAUAUCCGUUCCUUUUUUUAAUUCAGAAGCAUUUGUUUUUCAUUUUAUAUGAUUUCUUGGGAAAGCGAAAUAAGAUACGUAAAUGAUUGUUGUAAUUUUAUGAGCGAAAUGAACUCAUCUGGAAUGUCGCAGCCAAGUUACCACGCAACUUGAAAAUCUCUCUUGCGUAUGACAGUACUUCAAGCCACGAACAUCACUCUAAAUAGCUAACCUGUGAUGCAACCAACGCUGCACAGCUCUUUGAACAACGACUACUUCGAAACUAUGACCUAGACCUAGUAUUGCAUCCAACUAAGACGAUAUCAUAUUUCUCGUGUAUAGUAAAACUCUAAACUCUGAUCCGGGUAGCUUGAUAGCAAAAUCCGUUCCAGUUUUAAGCUGGUAAAUCUAGGGAAAAAAUCGAAAUUACCUAAUGUCAGAAUGCGCCUAUCCUUUAAACGACUCUCCAUGCAAAAGACUUCAGGAAACACACUCAAACACACGUAUGUGUGCUAGUGUGUGAGUGAAUAAGUGUGAGUGUAUGAGUGUGUGUGAAUGUUGUGUGUGUGUGUGUGUGUGUGUGUGUGUGUGUGUGUGUGUGUGUGUGUGUGUGUGUGUGUGUGUGUGUGUGUGUGUGUGUGUGUGUGCGCGCGCGCGUGCUUAAUACCGAAUAUUACUUAGAUAUCUUAUAGAUCCCCAUCUAGUCAGUGUGCCUGCGUGCCUCGACAUGGAAUUCCUCGACUUACCACGCCGGUGGCUGUCAACGACAGCUAGAAAAAAGAAAAGGAAAACGACUCCAAGAACCACAACAACAAAAAAGUUAACCCAUCCUUAAAAAAUCCCCAGAAUUCUCCGAAUUCAAGAGACCCUGCACUGCCAGAAACUGACUACAUGUUGUGCUGAAAGGUUCUUUGGUGCUAUUCAUGUAUCAUUAUCGUUAUACGGUCCAGGAUAAUGCAGUCUUCAUAACCAUAGUUACGGAGUUAAUGACAAAAACGAAAAUCCAGAUAGCUGCAUUUAAAAACUUAUUUGACUGAAAUUACAUUUCAUCAUGAUUUUUUUUUUCGUUUUUUCUUAUAUUUAUCCUUUAUCUGUUAAUAUUUUUGUGUAUUUAUGCCCGUUCAGGUAUUUUCGCCAUUCACAAUUGGCUAUCUUAAUAAGAUACGUCGAAUUUGUAUUUUUGAAAUGCGUGAUGUACAGUAUAAUCGAAUUUGUAUUGAAUAUAGAUGUAUUUAUAUAAAUAUGUGUUAAUGUAUAUUUAGGUGUGCAUAGUAUGUGUGUAUAGUAUGUAAAUGACAUUAUCUACAUUAAAAAUCACCCAAA
rnacentral:misc_RNA from 1 species